CCUACGGGGUGCAGCAGUGGGGAAUAUUGGACAAUGGGCGAAAGCCUGAUCCAGCCAUGCCGCGUGUGUGAAGAAGGCCUUCGGGUUGUAAAGCACUUUCAGUGGGGAAGAAAGCCUUGGGGCUAAUACCCUCGAGGAAGGACAUCACCCACAGAAGAAGCACCGGCUAACUCCGUGCCAGCAGCCGCGGUAAUACGGAGGGUGCGGGCGUUAAUCGGAAUUACUGGGCGUAAAGCGCGCGUAGGCGGUCUGAUAAGCCGGUUGUGAAAGCCCCGGGCUCAACCUGGGAACGGCAUCCGGAACUGUCAGGCUAGAGUGCAGGAGAGGAAGGUAGAAUUCCCGGUGUAGCGGUGAAAUGCGUAGAGAUCGGGAGGAAUACCAGUGGCGAAGGCGGCCUUCUGGACUGACACUGACGCUGAGGUGCGAAAGCGUGGGUAGCAAACAGGAUUAGAUACCCUAGUAGUC
rnacentral:rRNA from 1 species